GGAAGAGAGCGAGAGAGAGAGAGAGGGAGACGUACACAGACAGACACACGCAUCCCAUAGUGAGGGCAGAGGCAGAGAGCAGGCAAGGCAGAGAGGGAGAGAGGGGAGAGAGAGAGCCCCAAAGCAGCCUUGUGCCUCUGAGCUGGGAUCUGCCAGGGCACAGCCAGCAUGUUGGUCCUCAGCCCGCUUGUCCGGGGAUCUUACCUGCUGCUUUUCUUCUGCUUUGCUUUGCCUCAGACUGCGUACGCUGACAAUGUCUUCUCAUUUUCAGCAGAUCUGCCUUGUUUGGAACAGAAGAAGCAGCACUGCAGAGCACGCUGCCUCCUUGGCCCUCCUCCACCGCCCCUGCUCCCACCACCGUCCUUCAGGCACAGCUGGAGCACUAAGCUGGAUAUGGAAGAGCUGUGCCAUGAGCUCCAGAUAAUACAGGCUUCCACUCUGCCUGAAUUGCACUGCUCUGCAGGGCCUCCUGGCCCCCAGGUGAGUGAGGCAUGUGUGAUGAAACCACAUCAUUCUCUC
rnacentral:lncRNA from 1 species